AAUGAACGUUGGCGGCGUGGAUUAGGCAUGCAAGUCGAGCGGUAGGGAACUGCUCACCCGGUGCAUUUAGCCCGGCCAUUUGGCCGGGCGACGUGUUCCAGGUGAGCAGUUCCUGAGAGCGGCGAAAGGGAGAGUAAUACGUAGUUACGUACCCCGAGGACCGGAAUAGCCACGGGAAACUGUGGGUAAUGCCGGAUGUUGUCUUCGGAUUAAAGGGUGUGAUUCCGCCUUGGGAGCGGACUGCGUUGUACUAGCUAGUUGGUGGGGUAAUGGCCUACCAAGGCGAUGAUGCAUAGCGGGUGUGAGAGCAUGACCCGCCUCACUGGGACUGAGACACUGCCCAGACACCUACGGGUGGCUGCAGUCGAGAAUCUUCGGCAAUGGGCGAAAGCCUGACCGAGCGACGCCGUGUGCGGGAUGAAGGCCUUCGGGUUGUAAACCGCUGUCGUAGAGGAGGAAGUUGAUCGGGGUUCUCCCCGGUCAUUGACCUAUUCUAGGAGGAAGGACGGGCUAAGUUCGUGCCAGCAGCCGCAGUAAUAC
rnacentral:rRNA from 1 species